rnacentral:rRNA from 1 species
UAAGGAAUAUUGGUCAAUGGACGCAAGUCUGAACCAGCCAUGCCGCGUGAAGGAAGACGGCCCUACGGGUUGUAAACUUCUUUUGUACGGGAAAAAACCACCGGUCGAGCAUCGGUGCUGAUGGUACCGUAAGAAUAAGCAUCGGCUAACUCCGUGCCAGCAGCAGCGGUAAUACGGAGGAUGCAAGCGUUAUCCGGAUUCAUUGGGUUUAAAGGGUGCGCAGGCGGAAUGAUAAGUCAGUGGUGAAAUCCUACGGCUCAACGGUGGAACUGCCAUUGAUACUGU